rnacentral:rRNA from 1 species
UACGGAGGGGGCUAGCGUUGUUCGGAAUUACUGGGCGUAAAGAGCUCGUAGGCGGUUCGUCGCGUCGGCUGUGAAAACCCGGAGCUCAACUCCGGGCCUGCAGUCGAUACGGGCGGACUUGAGUGUUGCAGGGGAGACUGGAAUUCCUGGUGUAGCGGUGAAAUGCGCAGAUAUCAGGAGGAACACCGGUGGCGAAGGCGGGUCUCUGGGCAACUACUGACGCUGAGGAGCGAAAGCGUGGGGAGCAAACAGG